GUCUGACUAUUUCUUUGGGUCUUCCUUCCCUUGUGAAGUCUCUUGUGUCCUGUAAAAUGAAAGAUUUCCAAGAUCCUGUGGGGUAUCCAAGAUUGGCUAGAAUGAGAAAAUUCCAAGGAGACCAAAGAGGCCAAUUAAUGAGAGGAAGGGAGAAGCUGCGGAAGGGGGCAGCUGGAUCUCCUGCAGCCUCAAAUGUCAUCUCCCACAAGGCUGUGCAGAGCUGCAGUGAACACACACAGCAUAUGCACACACACACACACUCUCACUUACACGUAUUCAAACAUCAGCCCUCACACAAAGGUUCACACACCCGUGUUCAUGCACAGUCACGUUUGCCCACCUGAUGCUCAUCUGCCUUCACACUGACUCACUCCCACCUGUACACACACAACACACACACACAUGUGCACACGUGUGGAGACCCUGGCCGGCAGUCACAGAGAGAUCAGGGCGGGAAGAGGGGGACUUUUUCACCAGUCCCAUCGGCCCUCCUAAGGACUCUCCCUUCUUUGUAUCCUUAAUCUGGCUAAGGAGCCCAGGAAUCUCGGAACCAGUCCUCAAAAUUACCCUCUGUGAAAUCUCAGCCUCACUCUCCCUGGUGUCGGAUAUCUCUCUUGGUGUCUCCCAGGCCAAUGCUCAGUCACAGUUCUAUUUUACUAUCUGGUUGCCCCAGUAUGGUUUAGAGCAUGUCUCUGAAUCAAGACUAACUC
ensembl:lncRNA